rnacentral:rRNA from 1 species
GACGAACGCUGGCGGCGUGCUUAACACAUGCAAGUCGAACGAUGAUGCCCAGCUUGCUGGGUGGAUUAGUGGCGAACGGGUGAGUAACACGUGAGUAACCUGCCCCUGACUCUGGGAUAAGCGUUGGAAACGACGUCUAAUACUGGAUAUGAUCACUGGCCGCAUGGUCUGGUGGUGGAAAGAUUUUUUGGUUGGGGAUGGACUCGCGGCCUAUCAGCUUGUUGGUGAGGUAAUGGCUCACCAAGGCGACGACGGGUAGCCGGCCUGAGAGGGUGACCGGCCACACUGGGACUGAGACACGGCCCAGACUCCUACGGGAGGCAGCAGUGGGGAAUAUUGCACAAUGGGCGAAAGCCUGAUGCAGCAACGCCGCGUGAGGGAUGACGGCCUUCGGGUUGUAAACCUCUUUUAGUAGGGAAGAAGCGAAAGUGACGGUACCUGCAGAAAAAGCACCGGCUAACUACGUGCCGGCAGCCGCGGUAAUACGUAGGGUGCAAGCGUUGUCCGGAAUUAUUGGGCGUAAAGAGCUCGUAGGCGGUUUGUCGCGUCUGCUGUGAAAUCCCGAGGCUCAACCUCGGGCUUGCAGUGGGUACGGGCAGACUAGAGUGCGGUAGGGGAGAUUGGAAUUCCUGGUGUAGCGGUGGAAUGCGCAGAUAUCAGGAGGAACACCGAUGGCGAAGGCAGAUCUCUGGGCCGUAACUGACGCUGAGGAGCGAAAGCAUGGGGAGCGAACAGGAUUAGAUACCCUGGUAGUCCAUGCCGUAAACGUUGGGCGCUAGAUGUAGGGACCUUUCCACGGUUUCUGUGUCGUAGCUAACGCAUUAAGCGCCCCGCCUGGGGAGUACGGCCGCAAGGCUAAAACUCAAAGGAAUUGACGGGGGCCCGCACAAGCGGCGGAGCAUGCGGAUUAAUUCGAUGCAACGCGAAGAACCUUACCAAGGCUUGACAUACACCGGAAACGGCCAGAGAUGGUCGCCCCCUUGUGGUCGGUGUACAGGUGGUGCAUGGUUGUCGUCAGCUCGUGUCGUGAGAUGUUGGGUUAAGUCCCGCAACGAGCGCAACCCUCGUUCUAUGUUGCCAGCGGGUUAUGCCGGGGACUCAUAGGAGACUGCCGGGGUCAACUCGGAGGAAGGUGGGGAUGACGUCAAAUCAUCAUGCCCCUUAUGUCUUGGGCUUCACGCAUGCUACAAUGGCCGGUACAAAGGGCUGCGAUACCGUAAGGUGGAGCGAAUCCCAAAAAGCCGGUCUCAGUUCGGAUUGAGGUCUGCAACUCGACCUCAUGAAGUCGGAGUCGCUAGUAAUCGCAGAUCAGCAACGCUGCGGUGAAUACGUUCCCGGGCCU